rnacentral:lncRNA from 1 species
CCCCCCCCCCCCCCCCCCCCCCCCCCCCCCCCCCCCCCCCCCCCCCCCCCCCCCCCCCCCCCCCCCCCCCCCCCCCCCCCCCCCCCCCCCCCCUCUCACAGAGCUCCGGCCGCCCCGAGCUCCGGCCGCUCCGAGCUCCGCUCUGAUAGAGCUCCGGCCGCUCCGAGCUCCGCUCUGAUAGAGCUCCGGCCGCCCCGAGCCCCGGCCGCUCCGAGCUCCGCUCUCACAGAGCCCCGGCCGCUCCGAGCUCCUCCGGCCGCCCCGGGCUCUGCUGUCACAGAGCUCUGCUAUCACAGAGCUCCGGCCGCUCCGAGCUCCGCUCCCACAGAGCUCCGGCCGGCCCGAGCUCCGCUCCCACAGAGCCCCGGGCACAGAGGAGCGUGUCAGUGCCAGCCUGCCGCGAUGUUUGUAAUGUCAAAACCCAGUAAUUCACCUUAAGGCAAUCCUUGCAUGCCAGCGAUCCCAGGCAUGGUGAAAGAGUCCUGCACACUGCAUCACUGGUGACUUUCUUGCUCCUGUUGGACUUUCCAAACACUGGAAGAGGCUAGGAGAUACUGGGCAGCAUUUCCCUCUCUGAUAAGUAUGUACUGAUUUGGAAAUAGGAUUAAGGGGAUAUAGGGGUAUAAUAUAUAUCCAUAUGUAAUAGGUUGGGGGACUUUAUUUAUUUAUUUUUAAAUUUUAUUUUAUUCUGCCAUAAAUAGGUUGCCACGAGCUUGUGGGAAGACCUGAAUGCAGUGUCAGAGAAGGACUGAUGUGAAGUGGACUAGCUCCAGUCACAGCUGCAAGAGCCAAAUGCAAAUGUUUAAACACUCCUUCCCAGAGGCUGAAGGUAUAUUAUCGGAGCAUUGUAAAAGAAGAGCAAUUCUUUACCAACUCAUGGAAAAACAAUGUGUUUUUGUUCUUGGCCAGAUUCCCCAAAGAGAAUUUAAUUUCAAGAUUCUGGCUAUGAAUAUCAGCCCAUGCGAUGUCAGACAAUGA